UUGCAACGGAUAAUCCGUUGCAAAUAAAUUAAAAUUGCAACGGAUUUUCCGUUGCAA
rnacentral:sRNA from 1 species